rnacentral:lncRNA from 10 species
ACCACCAGCAGCAAGGAGAGGGCCAUGGAACAGGUUCUCCCUCGCAGCCUUCAGAAGUAACCAACUCUGCCAACACUUUGAUCUCAAAUUUCCAGAACUAUGAAGCAAUAAAGUGCUGUUGUUGAAGACAUCCAGCUUGCGGUACUUUGUGAUAGCAGCCCAAGGAGCAUAAUACAGAUAAGCACUGGCUUAAGCACAGAAAGCAGCAGCAUCAGGACUCAGUUCAUCCAGGUUUCUGUAAGUUCUGCUUUCCGCAGUCUGGGCUCCACUCCCCAGCAAGUGGUCACUAUGUGGUGGAAGUGGUCACUACGUGGUAGCCCCCAGAAGCCCCUGACUUACAACUUCCCAGUUUCAAGUCCUCUCUUGGAGGAGGGCUUCUCUUCCCAGGAGUUCCAACAAAAGACCUGAAAUCAAGUUUUAGUGACUUGAAUCUUGGGGAAGGGGCCAGCCUCCACCACACCACAGGGUCUGAAAGAGGGAUGAAGAUUUUUCCUUGUGGAAAAUCAUUACCAAUUAUAUAUCAUUACCAAAGAAACAGCGGGUGGAGGCUGAAUGCCAAACAUGCAAACACACGAAGGUAUCUGGAAUAUCCGUCAUUGAGAACUUUCACCUUUUCACUUGAAGGAAGCACUUUAUGACUUCUCUUUGGCAUAUCUGAAUUGCCAGCACUGCCACUCUUGCACCCAGGGGCCAUUACUAAGUAAAAUAAGGGUUCCUUGAACACAUGCACUGCAAUGCUGCCACAGUGGAUUUGAUAACUGAGUCAGCUACUAAGUGGCUAAGAGGUGCAAUUUAAAAUAUGAAUUAUUUCUGGAAUUUUCCAUUUUAUGUUUUUGGACCACAGUUGAUGGCUGGUAACUCAAGCUGGUAACUUUUGGAAAGCAAAAUUGUCAAUAAGGGGAGGGACCACUGUAGAGCUAUUUUAAAACUCUGCCCUGGCUCCCCCUACUAUGCAGACAGAAGCAUCAUCAUUCAAAGCCUCACAUUCUACCGA